rnacentral:rRNA from 1 species
UCAGGCCUAACACAUGCAAGUCGAACGGCAGCACGGGUGCUUGCACCUGGUGGCGAGUGGCGAACGGGUGAGUAAUACAUCGGAACGUACCUUAUCGUGGGGGAUAACGCAGCGAAAGUUGCGCUAAUACCGCAUACGCCCUGAGGGGGAAAGCGGGGGACCGUAAGGCCUCGCGCGAUUAGAGCGGCCGAUGUCUGAUUAGCUUGUUGGUGAGGUAAAAGCUCACCAAGGCGAUGAUCAGUAGCUGGUCUGAGAGGACGAUCAGCCACACUGGGACUGAGACACGGCCCAGACUCCUACGGGAGGCAGCAGUGGGGAAUUUUGGACAAUGGGGGCAACCCUGAUCCAGCAAUGCCGCGUGAGUGAAGAAGGCCUUCGGGUUGUAAAGCUCUUGGUCAGGGAAGAAACAGCAGCUCUAACACAGUUUGCGA